rnacentral:misc_RNA from 1 species
CCGAGUUUACAACUCCCAAACCCCUGUGAACAUACCUUUAUGCUGCCUCGGCGGAUCAGCCCGCGCCCCGUAAAACGGGACGGCCCGCCGCAGGAAACCCUAAACUCUGUUUUUAGUGGAACUUCUGAGUAUAAAAAACAAAUAAAUCA